ensembl:lncRNA uncharacterized LOC114443750
UAUAAAAGCAGAGCUGUCAGCGGACGCCUCCACACAGGACACAGAUUAUCACCAAGGUACAGCAACUCAAUCUUUGCAGGGCUCGGGGUAAAAACGCGUGGAUGUAAUAAGUCUUCAGUGGGUCUUUUUUUUCUGUGUGUGCAGGGACUUUGAAGUCAUUUCAAGAUGUCUUCUGAGAAGAACCCAGAGGUGGUUGGCUGCGAUGCCUCCAUCAUGAAGAAUGUCUGGGAGAUCAGGGAGCGAGAGUAUGCACUGAAGAUUCAGCUGGAGCUGGAAAGGCUGGAGAAGAGUGCUUUGCCCUCCAUUAACAAGGACUGGGCAGGUCGCUUAGCUGCCAAAUUGGGGGGAUACAAAAGAGUAGAGAGGAAGGCCAAACCUCCUGAGACUCCAACAGACAACACCACCUGGAAGAGUAAGCAACCUCCAGCUCCUCGUCCUCCUCGUGUAGGAGGUUCAGGUCAAUUUGGCAGACCGGUAGGUCAGAGCAGAGGUUUGCCCACUCCAGCUCGUACUGACAAGGAAAAACCAGUACAGGACAAGAAUCUCAUCAAGCAACAGUUACUCAUGUACAUCUCCCAAACUCAACCAUCAGCUAUGGUGUGGGGAAAGUCAUGGAAGUACAACAAGUCUUUGCCUCCACUUGCAGAGGCCCCCACAGACUGGGGCCGGUGCUGGAUGUUCGCUACCCAGCAGCCUUGCUCAGAAGCAGGUCAGCCUUGGUCAAAUGAGCCCAACAUGAUUGAUCAUCACAACCUUCAUCUCUGGAGAAAGCCUGAUUACAGGGAGGUGGAAUCACAGGAGCUAGACUUAGUUCUUCCUAAUAAUGAGUGGGAGGUGUCCUGGAAAAAAUCUGAAAACCAAAACAAGGACAACAAAGGAGAAAAUGGCUUCCAUCCAGGGUUCUUCACCAUGCUUGUGGAGUCUCAGCACCACAAUGAAGUCCGGUGUUCAUCAGAGUGGAGCGAGGGUUGGAGAGCCACAAAGCCUGCCAAUCAGCAGGGUCAUUUUACAGAUUCAAACGACAGUUCGAUGAGUCAGUCUGUUACUAACAACCAAAGUAUGGAUAAUGAGAUGAGCUCCAAAUGGGAAGAAAGUUGGAGGUUCGUCAAUCACCACAGUGGCAACACAUUUGAGGUCACUCAACCUAAAAAAUCUCUCAGUCCAGAGUGGGCCUGUUCAUGGAAAGCAGCCACUAUGGUCCUUAGUAACCGGGAGGAUACAGAUCCCUCUCUGCAGGAAGAUCAUAUGAAUACCUAUGGUGAUCGCAGUCAGCACAAACAGUCCUCUUUUCAAAACAUGCCUGUGUCUCGUGAGGAGAAGUUCAGACAACUGUACAUGCAGCUCUGCUCUGAAUUUAAGGGGCUCUCUGAGUGGAACAAGUCAUGGCAAAUGACUAAAAACAACUCCAAACCAAGUGCAGAAAUAGAAAAAGUCCUGAAGGCACCACUGCCAAAGAUAGAGACUUCUUCAGAGGCUCAGGAAGUUGAGAAGAUCCCCAAGAUGCAAAAUUCAACACCAGAGAAAGCAGACCCACGCUACGAGAAGCUAAAACAUGACAUAAUAUAUCGACCAAAGAGAGAAUUCCCUCAGUCUAAGCUGUUUCUUUUGAAACACCUGGAAAAAACCAUGCCUCUCUCAGAAUGGAGAGACUCGUGGAAGAUGAUAAAGCAUAGAAUGAGGAUGGAGAAAAGACAAAUGAGGCCAAACCCUUUGAAGCCGUUCAGAGAAUCAGAUAAGGACUUAAAGCCCAAUGUCUCAGAAUGGAAAGACUCAUGGAAAUUCACUUGCAAGCCUUUGCAUCAGGAGCCUGACCAGUGGCAGCAGGAUUGGGCCAUCAUAGCUCAAACUCGUGAAAAUGGGGCAAGGGUCCAGAACCAUGUUGCACCUUUCCCUAAAAAUGGGCCAACUGCAGAGCAGAGUUGGGGAGAAUCAUGGAGAUUUUCAAGAAAGAAGCAUAGAUCAGAAGCUGGAGUAGGAAAGACCCAAAUGAGCCAGGGAAACUUAGGUGUUGUCUCUCAGGACAAUGAAUUUUCCUGGGCACAAAGAAGACAUUAUAGGCGCACUACAGACUGGCAGGCAGCCUGGAUGGUCUCAGAAACUCAGUUCCACCAUGACAAACCCUCCCUGAUUCAGUGGUGGGAAUCCUGGAAGUGGUCUGUCUACCACACACAGCCAUGGACUGAACAGAUGCAAAGAGAGAACUGGGUGAUGCAAAGAGAGAACUGGGUGAAUGAAUUAAUGGAGCUCCGGCCUAUGAAAGAGAAGUUUUCCUUGCAGAGAGCCAAUGCUAAAAUGAGCCGGUCUUUUGACCACCACAUGUUCAGGGAAAGAUACCCUGAGAAAGAGUGGAGUAGUUCAUGGAGAGCUGGGUCGCUUCUCAAACACCAAUCAAAUCAACAUGGAUCUUCAGGAGCAACUGGACAGAGCUUCAAAAACACUAUUCAGCAUCAACUUGCAAAUGAGUAUGGAUCCAGGUGGGGAAGGUCCUUCAGGCUUGCCAACCCCAUGCCCAAAAUGGAUCAACCCUGGGUGGAGUCCUAUGCUAAUCCCUGUUUCUAUUCAGGCAUGUGGUCAAAAAGAGAGAGAAAGCAAAACACUGCCAUAACCAACUUUGGCAACCCUGCAACCCUCAAGCUUUGGGGAAACUCUCAUCAUUUUCUGCAGCAGGCCUUUACACAGAGCAACAAAGGUAAGUCCAGAGAGUCCACUGACCCGAGGGUGAUUAUGACUAAGCACCAAACGCCCAAACGAAUGCAACAUUUGCACUCCAACACUGAAAAGGACAAACAAUUUGAAAAAAAGUGGGCAGGAUGCCACCUUCUGGGUAAAACCCAACCACGUCCCAAGAAGGGCCCUGGUUCUGCAAAGAAGCUCAAGCCUGAAGACAAUGCCGAUGCCAUGUUCUUUGAAGAGUGGGCAGAAUCUUGGAGGUUUUUGGUUGGGCCCAGUACUUUGAAAAGGCAGAGAUACUUCAAGAAACUCAUAGGUUGGGACGAAUCGUGGAAGUUCCUUAUUCCACUGUACCAGUUUCAAAAUACCCAGAAAGCCAAAUAGGAGGGAUGGGAUGAUACCCUGAAACAUAAAGUUUGGAUGCAAAGCAUAGUAAAUAAAUAAAACUGAAUGUUUUACUGUUUCCCA